UACAGAGGUCUCAAGCGUUGUUCGGAUUCACUGGGCGUAAAGGGUGCGUAGGCGGUCGGGUAAGUCUGAUGUGAAAUCUCACAGCUUAACUGUGAAACUGCAUUGGAUACUAUCCGGCUUGAGGAAUGGAGGGGAGACUGGAAUACUUGGUGUAGCAGUGAAAUGCGUAGAUAUCAAGUGGAACACCAGUGGCGAAGGCGAGUCUCUGGACAUUUCCUGACGCUGAGGCACGAAAGCCAGGGGAGCAAACGGG
rnacentral:rRNA from 1 species